UAUGUAGCUUGAAGAGCAAAUAUUGGGUGAAUGAACAAAGGUAUGGUGGACUCUCUGUUGGUGGACAACUGCCAAUUCUUGAUGUUGACCCUGAGGAAAUUCAGGCCGUUCUUUCCCAGCUUGGACAGAUGAUGAAUAUUACAGGGGGCCCCUAUUCAAAGUCAGCUAUGAAUGAAUUAGGAACUUUCUUGCAAUACAUGGAGAGUGAGUACAAUGUUAAGGUAUG